rnacentral:rRNA from 1 species
UAGGGAAUCUUCGGCGAUGGGGGGAACCCUGACCGAGCAACGCCGCGUGAGUGAAGAAGGUUUUCGGAUCGUAAAGCUCUGUUGUUAAGGAAGAACGAGUGUGAGAAUGGAAAGUUCAUACUGUGACGGUACUUAACCAGAAAGGGACGGCUAACUACGUGCCAGCAGCCGCGGUAAUACGUAGGUGGCAAGCGUUGUCCGGAUUUAUUGGGCGUAAAGCGAGCGCAGGCGGUCAAUUAAGUCUGAUGUGAAAGCCCCCGGCUCAACCGGGGAGGGUCAUUGGAAACUGGUUGACUUGAGUGCAGAAGAGGAGAGUGGAAUUCCAUGUGUAGCGGUGAAAUGCGUAGAUAUAUGGAGGAAUACCGGUGGCGAAGGCGACUUUCUGGCCAUAAUCUGACGCUGAGGUACGAAAGCGUGGGUAGCAAACAGG